rnacentral:rRNA from 1 species
ACGCUGGCGGCGUGCCUAACACAUGCAAGUCGAACGGGACUUAGUAGAAAGCGGCUUCGGCCAAUGGAAGCUAAGUUUAGCGGCGGACGGGUGAGUAACGCGUGAGCAACCUUUCUCUCAGUGGGGAAUAACACAGGGAAACCUGUACUAAUACCGCAUGAGACCACAGUACCGCAUGGUGCAGGGGUCAAAGAUUAAUCGCUGAGAGGUGGGCUCGCGUCCGAUUAGAUAGUUGGUGAGGUAACGGCUCACCAAGUCGACGAUCGGUAGCCGACCUGAGAGGGUGAUCGGCCACAUUGGGACUGAGACACGGCCCAGACUCCUACGGGAGGCAGCAGUGGGGAAUAUUGGGCAAUGGGGGAAACCCUGACCCAGCAACGCCGCGUGAAGGAAGAAGGCCUUCGGGUUGUAAACUUCUUUUACCAGGGACGAAGAAAGUGACGGUACCUGGAGAAAAAGCAACGGCUAACUACGUG